UACGUAGGGUGCGAGCGUUGCCCGGAUUUAUUGGGCGUAAAGGGCGCGUAGGCGGCCACGCACGUCCGUUGUGAAAUCGCCCGGCUCAACUGGGCGGGGUCAGCGGAUACGGUGUGGCUCGAGCAAGCUAGGGGGUAAUGGAAUUCCCGGUGUAGUGGUGGAAUGCGUAGAUAUCGGGAGGAACACCAGUGGCGAAGGCGGUUGCCUGGAGCUUUGCUGACGCUGAGGCGCGAAAGCGUGGGGAGCGAACAGG
rnacentral:rRNA from 1 species